rnacentral:rRNA from 1 species
UACGUAGGGGGCAAGCGUUGUCCGGAUUUAUUGGGCGUAAAGAGCGUGUAGGCGGCCACGCAGGUCCGUUGUGAAAACUGAAGGCUCAACCUCCAGACGUCGACGGAAACCGUAUGGCUAGAGUCCGGAAGAGGAGAGUGGAAUUCCUGGUGUAGCGGUGAAAUGCGCAGAUAUCAGGAAGAACACCAAUGGCGAAGGCAGCUCUCUGGGACGGUACUGACGCUGAGACGCGAAAGCGUGGGGAGCGAACAGG